AAGUCGAGCUUCAGAAUCACGUCCACCGGAGAGGAUGGCUGCGCAAGACUCCAAUAUCACUUGGGAACUGUUUCCUGGGCGUAGUAAGAUGCAGAAACAGAAAUGUUGCGCAAAAGCGAAGACCUGGCAGUUGGCUUUCCUGGUGGGGAUCUUGAUCCUGGUGUCAACAUUCAGCCUGUUCAGCAUAGUCUAUGACA